rnacentral:rRNA from 1 species
AUUGGACGCUGGCGGCAGGCUUAACACAUGCAAGUCGAACGAGUGGCGGACGGGUGAGUAAUGCUUGGGAAUCUCGCUUAUGGAGGGGGAUAACUACGGGAAACUGUAGCUAAUACCGCGUACCAUAGGAUGAGCCCAAGUGGGAUUAGGUAGUUGGUGAGGUAAAGGCUCACCAAGCCGACGAUCUCUAGCUGGUCUGAGAGGAUGACCGGCCACACGGGGACUGGGACAGGGCCCAGACUCUUACGGGGGGAAGCAGGGGGUAAUAUUGCGCAAUGGGGGCAACCUGAAGCAGCCAUGCCGGGUGAAUGAAGAAGGCCUUCGGGUUGUAAAGUUCUUUCGGUAGCGAGGCGUUAACGACAGAAGAAGCACCGGUUAACUCCGUGCCAGCAGCCGCGGUAAUA